rnacentral:rRNA from 1 species
GUUUGGGAGGAGUUUACGAACUCCGAGUGGUGAAGGAUAGUGCCAAGAAAAGCUGGCUAUGUGAUGAAGAUAGAACACCCGUACCCGAAACCGACACAGGUAGGGAGGUUGAGAAUACCAAGGGGCGCGAGAUAACUCUCUCUAAGGAACUCGGCAAAAUGGCCCCGUAACUUCGGGAGAGGGGGUGCCCACCUCAGACGUGGGUCGCAGUGAAGAGAUCCAGGCGACUGUUUACCAAAAACACAGGUCUCCGCCAACUCGCAAGAGGACGUAUGGGGGCUGACGCCUGCCCAGUGCCGGAAGGUUAAGGAAGCUGGUCAGCGAAAGUAAAGCUGGCGACUGAAGCCCCGGUGAACGGCGGCCGUAACUAUAACGGUCCUAAGGUAGCGAAAUUCCUUGUCGGGUAAGUUCCGACCCGCACGAAAGGCGUAACGAUCUGGAUGGUGUCUCAGAGAGAGACUCGGCGAAAUAGGAAUGUCUGUGAAGAUACGGACUGCCUGCACCUGGACAGAAGGACCCUAUGAAGCUUUACUGUAGCCUGGAAUUGUGUUCGGGCUUCGCUUGCGCAGGAUAGGUGGGAAGCGGUGAACUAUUCCUUUUGGGGAAUAGGGAGCUAACGGUGAGAUACCACUCUGGCGAAGCUAGAAUUCUAACCCACGACCGUCAGCCGGUUGGGGAACAGUUUCAGGUGGGCAGUUUGACUGGGGCGGUCGCCUCCUAAAAAGUAACGGAGGCGCGCAAAGGUUCCCUCAGCACGCUUGGAAACCGUGCGACGAGUGUAAAAGCAAAAGGGAGCUUGACUGCAAGACUGACAAGUCGAGCAGGUACGAAAGUAGGCUUUAGUGAUCCGACGGCGCAGAGUGGAAUGGCCGUCGCUCAACGGAUAAAAGUUACUCUAGGGAUAGCAGGCUGAUCUCCCCCAAGAGUCCACAUCGACGGGGAGGUUUGGCACCUCGAUGUCGGCUCAUCGCAACCUGGGGCGGAAGUACGUCCCAAGGGUUGGGCUGUUCGCCCAUUAAAGCGGUACGUGAGCUGGGUUCAGAACGUCGUGAGACAGUUCGGUCCAUAUCCGGUGCAGGCGCAAGAGUAUUGAGAGGAGUCCUCCUUAGUACGAGAGGACCGGGAGGAACGCACCGCUGGUGUACCAGUUAUUGUACCAACAGUAAACGCUGGGUAGCCAAGUGCGGAGAGGAUAACCGCUGAAAGCAUCUAAGUGGGAAGCCCACCUCAAGAUGAGUACUCUCACUACAAAAAGUAGGUAAGGUCACGGGCAGAACACCCGUUAAUAGGCUCUAAGUGGAAGUGCAGUAAUGUAUGAAGCUGAGGAGUACUAAUAGACCGAGGGCUUG